GCGACCCCAGGUCAGGCGGGAUCACCCGCUGAGUUUAAGCAUAUCAAUAAGCGGAGGAAAGAACUACA
rnacentral:rRNA from 1 species